rnacentral:tRNA from 1 species
CGGGGAUUGGCGCAGCUGGCUAGCGCGCCUGCUUUGGGAGCAGGAGGUCGUGGGUUCAAGUCCCACAUCCCCGA